AUGGUGGCAGCAGCAGCAUGGGGUGACGUCCCUUGCGAAACUGCAGAUCCAGUGGAAAAAAUAUUCCAAGCUAUGGAGAUACCAAUUAGUCUCUCUUCCCAUGGUGGGCCAGCUUCUUCACAGGACGAAAUCUACAGGACAGACAGUGAGGUCCUUGGAAACCCUGGCUGUGAUGAAUAGGGCUUCUGGCUCCCUUGGGACUCGGCUGGUUAUUUUGUAGGAAAUUGAAUUUCUUGGUAAGUUAGAGAUGUGCUAAUGAGCCCUAAUGUGGGGCCGAGAGGGCUGGGGGUGGACUCCAGUCUAGGCAUCAGCUGGGUCAGCUUGCACUUCUGCCUCUGUGAACCCUGGAUCCUCCUCUCCCUGUCCUCCAUCUCCAGUCUCUGACCACAAAACUGGCACAAUUCCACAACCCUGGCAUGCUCUUCUCCUCAGGCCUCGCUCCAGUCCAGACCUUCCUGUCUCUCUCCAGAGAGUCUAUGUUGACCCCGAACUUCUCUCUUUUCCUCUGACAACACCCAAACCUUCCAUGGGCAAAAGCAUUUGAGACCAACAUAUGGCCUACAGGAUUCAGCAGGAAUUUCUCAGCCUGAUGCUCAGGCCUAUUCUCUGUGGCCAACCUGACUGUCUAGCCUCGACUUCCACUAGUUCUCUGCUGUUCCCUCUUUGCUGAUCCAAUAGCACUGGUCACUGUUUCCUGAACUUGCUCUGGUCCUGCACCUUGGCCUACCCACCAGUGGAUCUGAGAAGCUUCUGCACUUUCCAUUAGCUCCCACUGCGGUGGAAAGGGGUCCAUGUACCUGCGGGAUGGGGCUCUGCAAGGCCUAGUGGCUUUGGCUUCCUGGCUGUUCUGAGUUGCUUCUGGUGGUGUUCCUGUUUAUCCCCUUUCUCCAGCCACACUGGCUGCCCUCAAAUGCUCCAGGCACACCCUCAGAGCAGGGCCUUUGCACUUGCUCUUAUUAAUGCCCGGAAAGUUCUCCACCCGGCUGUCCACAUGCCUCGCUUCCCACCUUGCUAUGUCAUCCCUGAAAUGUCACUUCCAUGAGGCCGUGCUUGACCACAUCGUUUAAAGUGGCACCCUGGCCCUCCAUAUCCCCUUUCUCUGGAGCCCUUGCCACCACCUGACCCUGACCCACACCCACUGUGCAUGCUACUAGAGAGUGAGCUUCAGGAAGGCACAUGCUGGGGCUGUUUGGGUCACUGCUGUAUCUCCUGAACCCGACAGAAACCAGGCACUUAGAAGCUACUCCACUUCCCAGCCCAUCAAAACAGCCUAUUCCCAAGUCCAUCUUAGGCUGGCAAAAGUAGCUGAACACUUUUUCCUUUGUACUCCAAACAUGUCUUGAGGGUUCUUGCUGCAUGUUGACCCAGAUAACAAACCCAGAUUUCUUUUUAUUAGGCAUGUUGAACUUCUCAUGUGCCCUUAAAGUAUUUUACAUGCAUUAUCUGAUUUGCUGCUCACAAAAACUGCAAUGAAGUUAGAAGAUGUGCU
rnacentral:lncRNA from 1 species